GCCGGGAUGGCGGAAUAGGUAGACGCGCCAGCUUGAGGGGCUGGUGAGCGUAUGCUUGUGGGGGUUCAAAUCCCCCUCCCGGCACCA
rnacentral:tRNA from 1 species